rnacentral:rRNA from 1 species
GACGAACGCUGGCGGCGUGCUUAACACAUGCAAGUCGAACGAAGAGCGACGGAAGCUUGCUUCUAUCAAUCUUAGUGGCGAACGGGUGAGUAACGCGUAAUCAACCUGCCCUUCAGAGGGGGACAACAGUUGGAAACGACUGCUAACACCGCAUACGAUCUAACCUCGGCAUCGAGGAUAGAUGAAAGGUGGCCUCUACAUGUAAGCUAUCACUGAAGGAGGGGAUUGCGUCUGAUUAGCUAGUUGGAGGGGUAACGGCCCACCAAGGCGAUGAUCAGUAGCCGGUCUGAGAGGAUGAACGGCCACAUUGGGACUGAGACACGGCCCAGACUCCUACGGGAGGCAGCAGUGGGGAAUCUUCCGCAAUGGACGAAAGUCUGACGGAGCAACGCCGCGUGAGUGAUGACGGCCUUCGGGUUGUAAAGCUCUGUUAAUCGGGACGAAAGGCCUUCUUGCGAAUAGUGAGAAGGAUUGACGGUACCGGAAUAGAAAGCCACGGCUAACUACGUG